rnacentral:rRNA from 1 species
GACGAACGCUGGCGGCGUGCCUAAUACAUGCAAGUUGAGCGCAAAAGCUCGGUACUUGUGCCGACUGGGUGAGCAGCAAACGGGUGAGUAACGCGUGGAAAAUCUGCCUUUGAGCGGGGGAAAACAUUUGGAAACGAAUGCUAAUACCACAUAAGAUCUUUAAACACAAUUUUUAAGUUUGAAAGAUGCAAUUUCGUCACUCAAAGAUGAUCCCGCGUUGUAUUAGCUAGGUGGUGAGGUAAAGGCGCACCAAGGCGAGGUUACAUAGCCGCCCGGAGAGGGCGAGCGGCCAGACUGGGACGGUGACACGGCCCAAUCGCAUACGGGUGGCAGCCGUAGGGAAACGGGGGCCAUGGGCGAAAGUUUGUGCGAGAAACGCCGAGUGCGUGAAGAAGGUCUCCGGGUCGGAAAACUCUGUCGGUGGGGAAGAACGUUGGUGCGAGUGGAAAGCUCAGCGAGUGACGGUAAUUACUCAGAAAGGGACGGCUAACUACGUG